UACGGAGGGGGCUAGCGUUGUUCGGAAUUACUGGGCGUAAAGCGCACGUAGGCGGCUUUGUAAGUUAGAGGUGAAAGCCCGGGGCUCAACUCCGGAAUUGCCUUUAAGACUGCAUCGCUAGAAUUGUGGAGAGGUAAGUGGAAUUCCGAGUGUAGAGGUGAAAUGCGUAGAUAUCUGGAGGAACACCGGUGGCGAAGGCGGCAUCCUGGACCGGCAUUGACGCUGAGGCGCGAAAGCCAGGGGAGCAAACGGG
rnacentral:rRNA from 1 species